GGAAGUGUGCCCGAGAUUUAGGGACUACUUUGAUAGAGUAGAAACAGAAAUAAAAAACUCUCUUCC
rnacentral:tRNA from 1 species